GGGCGUGGGGUAGACUGUCUGGGAACUGCCUGAUGGAGGGGGAUAACUACUGGAAACGGUAGCUAAUACCGCAUAACGUCGCAAGACCAAAGAGGGGGACCUUCGGGCCUCUUGCCAUCGGAUGUGCCCAGAUGGGAUUAGCUAGUAGGUGGGGUAAAGGCUCACCUAGGCGACGAUCCCUAGCUGGUCUGAGAGGAUGACCAGCCACACUGGAACUGAGACACGGUCCAGACUCCUACGGGAGGCAGCAGUGGGGAAUAUUGCACAAUGGGCGCAAGCCUGAUGCAGCCAUGCCGCGUGUAUGAAGAAGGCCUUCGGGUUGUAAAGUACUUUCAGCGGGGAGGAAGGGAGUAAAGUUAAUACCUUUGCUCAUUGACGUUACCCGCAGAAGAAGCACCGGCUAACUCCGUGCCAGCAGCCGCGGUAAUACGGAGGGUGCAAGCGUUAAUCGGAAUUACUGGGCGUAAAGCGCACGCAGGCGGUUUGUUAAGUCAGAUGUGAAUCCCCCGGGCUA
rnacentral:rRNA from 1 species